ACGAACGCUGGCGGCGUGCUUAACACCUGCAAGUCGAACGGAAAGGCCCUGCUUGCCGGGUACUCGAGUGGCGAACGGGUGAGUAACACGUGGGUGAUCUGCCCUGCACUUCGGGAUAAGCCUGGGAAACUGGGUCUAAUACCGGAUAGGAGCCAUUUUUAGUGUGAUGGUUGGAAAGUUUUUUCGGUGUAGGAUGAGCUCGCGGCCUAUCAGCUUGUUGGUGGGGUAAUGGCCUACCAAGGCGGCGACGGGUAGCCGGCCUGAGAGGGUGGACGGCCACAGUGGGACUGAGAUACGGCCCAGACUCCUACGGGAGGCAGCAGUGGGGAAUAUUGCACAAUGGGCGCAAGCCUGAUGCAGCGACGCCGCGUGGGGGAUGACGGCCUUCGGGUUGUAAACUCCUUUCGCUAGGGACGAAGCUUUUUGUGACGGUACCUAGAGAAGAAGCACCGGCUAACUACGUG
rnacentral:rRNA from 1 species